GAUGAAGAACGUAGCGAAAUGCGAUAAGUAAUGUGAAUUGCAGAAUUCAGUGAAUCAUCGAAUCUUUGAACGCACAUUGCGCCCGCCAGUAUUCUGGCGGGCAUGCCUGUUCGAGCGUCAUUUCAACCCUCAAGCCCCCGGGCUUGGUGUUGGGGAUCGGCGUGCCCUCGCGGCGCGCCGUCCCCUAAAUCUAGUGGCGGUCUCGCUGUAGCUUCCUCUGCGUAGUAGCAACACUCGCACUGGAUCGCAGCGCGGCCACGCCGUUAAACCCCCCACUUCUGAAUGUUGACCUCGGAUCAGGUAGGAAUACCCGCUGAACUUAAGCAUAUCAAUAAGCGGAGGA
rnacentral:misc_RNA from 1 species